rnacentral:rRNA from 1 species
UGGGGAAUAUUGGGCAAUGGGCGCAAGCCUGACCCAGCAACGCCGCGUGAAGGAAGAAGGCUUUCGGGUUGUAAACUUCUUUUAUUGAGGACGAAACAAAUGACGGUACUCAAUGAAUAAGCCACGGCUAACUACGUGCCAGCAGCCGCGGUAAUACGUAGGGGGCGAGCGUUGUCCGGAAUUACUGGGCGUAAAGGGCGCGCAGGCGGCCGAUCAAGUUAGAUGUGAAAUACCUGGGCUUAACCUGGGAACUGCAUUUAAAACUGGUUGGCUAGGAGUGCAGGAGAGGGAAGCGGAAUUCCUAGUGUAGCGGUGAAAUGCGUAGAUAUUAGGAGGAACACCAGUGGCGAAGGCGGCUUUCUGGACUGUAACUGACGCUGAGGCGCGAAAGCGUGGGGAGCGAACAGGAUUAGAUACCC